rnacentral:lncRNA from 1 species
CUUCAAAUAUUAUUCACCUUGAAUUUUUUUCUAGAUUACUUCUAAGUACCACAGUGCUUGACUCAGCAAAAGAAACAAGAUCAGUAAAAACAUAAACUCCCAUCUGCAUAAAUUUAUUCUGAUAAUAAAUACACACAAAACACCAAAAACACAGCUAAGAAAAAGCAUGCUGAGGGUCCAGCAGCAUGUACUCUUGCCAUGAAGCAGACUCUAAGUGCUGUAGGAAACUAAUGGAAUACAGAACCAGAUGGCAGAUGGUAGUGGGAAAUGAAAGGCUUGAAAUUCGUAGUUUGGUAAGAGCGAAGCACUGAAAUUUCAUUAAUAGAAUACUAUUUAAGCCAUCACAUUCUUGCAAUUUGUUUCAAGUAGGAGUUUAAAUUAAAUGGCACUGUAUGUGGGUAGUGGGUAACUUAGCCUUGGACAAGGGCAUAGAUGGUGUCUUUUUGUAUUUGUAUUUUUCCUAGGAUUAAUACUACAGAUUAAACCCCAGGACCUUGUUCAUACCAGGCAAGCACUCCACUGUCAGAUCACAAAUUCUCUAGCUGCCUUUUUCUUCCAGAAACGAGGCCACAGCUCGGAGCAGCUCAGCCUCUGGUCAGACCUGGUAAGGAAGCUCACUGUGCAGCUCUUCUACUUCUCCCAGCUACAAGCUGCAUUUAUGUGCUGCCUAGUGCCUGCCUUCAAGCUGCAGGAUGAAGCUUGUCUACCCUGUUCAUCAGAGAAGCUAAAAGAAUCAGCGCCCCCACCCUUCCCCUUCUCUCUGGAUUUCAAGUGCAGGUUCUCUCGCAUCCCUCCUCACUUUCGGGAACCCAGUCAUGCUCUACAGCACGGGAGUUAUAGCUGAUUACAGCUUUGCUCAGGAUCUGAAGAAAUGCCCUCCUCUUCCCUGCAGGCUCUAUAAUGCUUCCUAUGGUCUGAUAUUUUUUUUUUUCUUGUCUAAUGUUCUUUCAUUUUAAGGCUUGAUAAUGCCUCCUUUAUACACCAUGGUCAUGGGGGUGGGAAUCCUUCCUCUCUCCAGAUCAUAGCCCUUUCUGAAGGAAAAUUUUGUGCCAGCUCCUUUUUGCAAAUCUACAUUUUUAAGUAACAUCUAUCACCGAGUGACACCCCUACUGAACAGAUGAUAUUCCUAACAGAAAAUUGAAAGACCGGUGGCUAAAGAACAUUUAGCAGAACAAAGCUAAUUGGGGAAGGGGUGGGGGGAAGCAGCAGCUCUAAUAGAGAUAUGGUACCAAAGUCUGGUAACAUGGUAACAUGAGUUGAAAGUUAAGGGAUUCUUACAAGUCUGUUUCUUUUCCACACAGAUGGGGGAAUGAAUGGCUUUGUGCCUUAGAUUACUUAAGAGUGAGUUAAGACAAAUGCCUAGAGACAGCACUAUAGUUAAGAGCAUACAUAUAUUACUCUUCCAGAGGACUUGAAUUUGGUUCCUGGCACCUAAGUUGCUUGGAACAACCAGUAAGUCAAGAUCAAGGGGAUCUAAUGUAAUGCCCAUUUCUGGCUUCCAGGAGCACUACACUCAAGUAUACAACCCAUACAUAGAGACACAUUUUGUGUUCUAAACAAAUCAAAAAAUUUUUUAAAAAGACAAAUGUAUUUGUUCAAGAGCUAUUGCUUUACAAUUGUCCAGCUGUUAAAUAAGACUAAAGUUAAUAGAAAAAAGGAUCUAGAAAGAAGCACUUCAUAUUCUCCUGUACAUUCUUGAAAGACAUGUAAACACUCUAAGAACAUUCUAGCAUUUUAAUGGAUACAUUGAGUUAAAAUUUAAGAUAAUCUGAUAAAAAACAUUCACUUUGGAACCUUACUUGUAAUCUUCUUUUUAAACAGUGGAAAAUGUUUUUGUUUCUUUAAGCCCAAAGGCUUUUGUUUUUAAACC